rnacentral:rRNA from 1 species
UGCCAGCCGCCGCGGUAAUACGGAUGGUGCGAGCGUUAUUCGGAAUUAUUGGGCGUAAAGGGCGCGUAGGCGGUCUUGUCGGUCAGAUGUGAAAGCCCGGGGCUCAACCCUGGAAGUGCAUUUGAAACAGCAAGACUUGAAUACAGGAGAGGAGAGCGGAAUUCCUGGUGUAGAGGCGAAAUUCGUAGAUAUCAGGAGGAACACCGAUGGCGAAGGCAGCUUUCUGGACAGAUAUUGACGCUGAGGCGCGAAGGCGUGGGUAGCGAACGGGAUUAGAUA